AACGAACGCUGGCGGCAGGCUUAACACAUGCAAGUCGAACGCCCCGCCAGGGGAGUGGCAGACGGGUGAGUAACGCGUGGGAACAUACCCUUUCCUGCGGAAUAGCUCCGGGACACUGGAAUUAAUACCGCAUACGCCCUACGGGGGAAAGAUUUAUCGGGGAAGGAUUGGCCCGCGUUGGAUUAGCUAGUUGGUGGGGUAAAGGCCUACCAAGGCGACGAUCCAUAGCUGGUCUGAGAGGAUGAUCAGCCACAUUGGGACUGAGACACGGCCCAAACUCCUACGGGAGGCAGCAGUGGGGAAUAUUGGACAAUGGGCGCAAGCCUGAUCCAGCCAUGCCGCGUGAGUGAUGAAGGCCUUAGGGUUGUAAAGCUCUUUCACCGAUGAAGAUAAUGACGGUAGUCGGAGAAGAAGCCCCGGCUAACUUCGUG
rnacentral:rRNA from 1 species